rnacentral:lncRNA from 1 species
CCAUGGUCCUCACUGAGGUAAACAGCUCUCUUCCUCCCCAGACAACCCCCCAUCGUCCUCACUGAGGUAAACAGCUCUCUUCCUCCCCAGACAACCCCCCAUGGCCCUCACUGAGGUAAACAGCUCUCUUCCUAACCCAGACAACCCCCAUGGUCCUCACUGAGGUAAACAGCUCUCUUCCUAACCCAGACAACCCCCCAUGGUCCUCACUGAGGUAAACAGCUCUCUUCCUAACCCAGACAACCCCCCAUGGUCCUCACUGAGGUAAACAGCUCUCUUCCUCCCCAGACAACCCCCCAUGGUCCUCACUGAGGUAAACAGCUCUCUUCCUAACCCAGACAACCCCCAUGGUCCUCACUGAGGUAAACAGCUCUCUUCCUCCCCAGACAACCCCCCAUGGUCCUCACUGAGGUAAACAGCUCUCUUCCUAACCCAGACAACCCCCCAUGGUCCUCACUGAGGUAAACAGCUCUCUUCCUAACCCAGACAACCCCC